AUUACGGGUGGCAGAGCCAGGUAAUAUGCGGAGGGCCUAAGCCCUUCUACCCGGGGGUUCAAAUCCCCCCCCUAAUA
rnacentral:tRNA from 1 species